rnacentral:rRNA from 1 species
CUCAUUAAAUCAGUUAUCGUUUAUUUGAUAGUACCUUACUACUUGGAUAACCGUGGUAAUUCUAGAGCUAAUACAUGCUGAAAACCCCCACUUCGGAAGGGGUGUAUUUAUUAGAUAAAAAACCAAUGCCCUUCGGGGCUUCUUGGUGAUUCAUGAUAACUUCACGGAUCGCAUGGCCUUGCGCCGGCGACGGUUCAUUCAAAUUUCUGCCCUAUCAACUUUCGAUGGUAAGGUAUUGGCUUACCAUGGUUUCA